UACGUAGGGUGCGAGCGUUGUCCGGAAUUACUGGGCGUAAAGAGCUCGUAGGUGGUUUGUCGCGUUGUUCGUGAAAACUCACAGCUUAACUGUGGGCGUGCGGGCGAUACGGGCAGACUGGAGUACUGCAGGGGAGACUGGAAUUCCUGGUGUAGCGGUGGAAUGCGCAGAUAUCGGGAGGAACACCGGUGGCGAAGGCGGUUCUCUGGGCCUGAUCUGACGCUGAGGAGCGAAAGCGUGGGGAGCGAACAGG
rnacentral:rRNA from 1 species